rnacentral:rRNA from 1 species
CCGAGUCUUAACCGGGCGUUAAGUUGCAGGGUAUAGACCCGAAACCCGGUGAUCUAGCCAUGGGCAGGUUGAAGGUUGGGUAACACUAACUGGAGGACCGAACCGACUAAUGUUGAAAAAUUAGCGGAUGACCUGUGGCUGGGGGUGAAAGGCCAAUCAAACCGGGAGAUAGCUGGUUCUCCCCGAAAGCUAUUUAGGUAGCGCCUCGUGAAUUCAUCUCCGGGGGUAGAGCACUGUUUCGGCUAGGGGGCCAUCCCGGCUUACCAACCCGAUGCAAACUGCGAAUACCGGAGAAUGUUAUCACGGGAGACACACGGCGGGUGCUAACGUCCGUCGUGAAGAGGGAAACAACCCAGACCGCCAGCUAAGGUCCCAAAGUCAUGGUUAAGUGGGAAACGAUGUGGGAAGGCCCAGACAGCCAGGAUGUUGGCUUAGAAGCAGCCAUCAUUUAAAGAAAGCGUAAUAGCUCACUGGUCGAGUCGGCCUGCGCGGAAGAUGUAACGGGGCUAAACCAUGCACCGAAGCUGCGGCAGCGACGUUUAUGCGUUGUUGGGUAGGGGAGCGUUCUGUAAGCCUGCGAAGGUGGCCUGUGAGGGUUGCUGGAGGUAUCAGAAGUGCGAAUGCUGACAUAAGUAACGAUAAAGCGGGUGAAAAGCCCGCUCGCCGGAAGACCAAGGGUUCCUGUCCAACGUUAAUCGGGGCAGGGUGAGUCGACCCCUAAGGCGAGGCCGAAAGGCGUAGUCGAUGGGAAACGGGUUAAUAUUCCCGUACUUGGUGUUACUGCGAAGGGGGGACGGAGAAGGCUAUGUUGGCCGGGCGACGGUUGUCCCGGUUUAAGCGUGUAGGCUGGUUUUCCAGGCAAAUCCGGAAAAUCAAGGCUGAGGCGUGACGACGAGGCACUACGGUGCUGAAGCAACAAAUGCCCUGCUUCCAGGAAAAGCCUCUAAGCAUCAGGUAACAUCAAAUCGUACCCCAAACCGACACAGGUGGUCAGGUAGAGAAUACCAAGGCGCUUGAGAGAACUCGGGUGAAGGAACUAGGCAAAAUGGUGCCGUAACUUCGGGAGAAGGCACGCUGACACGUAGGUGAAGUGAUUUACUCAUGGAGCUGAAGUCAGUCGAAGAUACCAGCUGGCUGCAACUGUUUAUUAAAAACACAGCACUGUGCAAACACGAAAGUGGACGUAUACGGUGUGACGCCUGCCCGGUGCCGGAAGGUUAAUUGAUGGGGUCAGCGCAAGCGAAGCUCCUGAUCGAAGCCCCGGUAAACGGCGGCCGUAACUAUAACGGUCCUAAGGUAGCGAAAUUCCUUGUCGGGUAAGUUCCGACCUGCACGAAUGGCGUAAUGAUGGCCAGGCUGUCUCCACCCGAGACUCAGUGAAAUUGAACUCGCUGUGAAGAUGCAGUGUACCCGCGGCAAGACGGAAAGACCCCGUGAACCUUUACUAUAGCUUGACACUGAACAUUGAGCCUUGAUGUGUAG